CUGCUUUUGGAAAACACGGAGCAACAACAGUAGAGAGUUUAAUGAAAUUUGUCUAACUGCCAAUUCUGUCCUCUCCUUUUCUGAAAAUUACAUAACAGAUAGGGUUUAGCUUCUUCGAUCUCCAUCGCUAGGCAGCCAUUCUGCAGUCGUUCACCUUCUUCCUCUUUGCCGUCAAGACAACAGGCGCAACACUCGAUAAUUCGAUCCUCAUCGAACUUCUCCUCCUUCUCUCUCUGCUGUCACUGAAAGGAAGAAUAAAGGUUUAAUUUUUGAGUUAGUUUCUGGAGGAGGUUGAAGAAGAAUGAAUUAUCAGCAAAAAUACUUAGAUGAAUGACUUUGGGUAUGCCGUCGGAAUCUCAACUGGUUUUUAAUCCGGAAAGAAGAAGAGGAUCUAGGACUGUAGUUAUGGAGUCGCUGCCUUUCCACUAGGAGAGAAGAGGAACUAAGGGAAGUAGGCUCAACUCUCUCUCGAAUUGGAAGAAAGGGAAGAGGAACCUCCUCUAAGAACUGGUGUUAGAAUAUGCAGGUAUUGCUGUCUUUGAAAAAUAUGAUUAAGUGCAGUAAUUGAGCUCUUUUUGUUUCUUCUUAUAAACUUGGGGCUGAUGUCUGGUUGAUAAAUAGACACUUAACAAACUUGGGUCAUGUGAUUGGAUUGGUUUCCGUAAUCCAGUUUUGUUCCCGUUGUUAAAAGACUCAUGAUAAAAUUGAUUUGAACAUUUGAAACAGAUCACUUUCUUAGUAUGAGAAGGGAAUGCGAGAGUUCUGCACCUAUUAAAACGGUGGAUGUACUAUAUACAUGAUCUAUUAGCAUUGUCAUUUCCUAAAUCAAAUAGCAUUUUAGCAUUGUCAUAUCCUUAUCUUAAUAAUUUGGAACUUUCAUUGCUAUUGACUAAUUCUAGCUAGAUUGAUAUUCUGCUAGUUAUAUGGUGCUGCACUAAUCAGUAAGAUUUAUGAUAUGCAGAUUAGAGUUAUUAGGAAAGAAGCUAAUUAAUAAGAUUUAUUAAUAUGCAGAUUAGAGUUUAUGGAUAUCUUAAUCUUACAGGUAGUAGUACGUAGUACACCUGAAUGAUGUUUUGAUAUUCCCAUAUCGUUAUAUCUGUCAUGUAAGUUGGCAAGGAAAGCUCACAUAGUUACAGAUAGAGCAUCCCUCUUAAGCAUAUAACUCAGAUAUUAGUUAUGAUUUACUUGGCACUUUCUUAGCCAGUAAAAGAUGCUUUAUACAAGUUGAAAUUGCUAUGUAGUUUGGAUUGUUCAUUGGCUUUGUGUUUUGCAAUCUAGUUCCUUAAUUUGAUUAUAUGCUUCUGGGAUCGUUACAUAUUUUGAGUUUGUAUACUAAUUGUAAUGGAGGUGUUUGCUUCCAAUUGUUUCCAACAGUCCUAUAUUUAAUUAUGAUGCAAUAUUUGAGAAUCUUUGUAUACUAAAACAACUUGCCUGAGAAUCUUUGUAUACUAAAACAAUAUUUGAGAAUCUCUAUUCCUGAUCCAUGGCUGCUCCAGGUAUGUGACCAUUAACUCCAACAUGUCUAUGUUUCAUAACUACUACAAAUACUUGAACAUAACUGUAUCUAAACUAUUUGUUGGUGAUCUUGGUUGUUUGAAUAUAAUCAUACAUGUAUCUGCAGUAAGCUUGAUUGUGUUUAUAUUCUGUGUUUGAUCUUUCAUAGACAAGUUAAUUGGUUCUGUUUUGGGAAGUAAGUGGAGGCUUUGAAAUGUGCAUUGUGGCUUGCUGCUUUGGCACAAAUCUAGAAUAAUUGAUGAUGUGAGGUUUUUCUCUUAAUUUGUAUACUGCUAUUAGUUAUAGUGAUAUUAUAAGAGACUAGUCAUUGUAAGAAAUAUUGUGCUUUCAGAAUUUUUACAUGAUAGACAAGUUAAUUAACUCUUCAUAUAUGAAAUCCAUAUUUGGCAGCCAGCAAGAUCUCUAUACAAACUGCGAUUGGUACAGCAAUAGCAAUUGCUGGUGUUGUCAUUUACUCCUUGAUAAAAGCAAACUUGGAAGAGCAAAAGAAGGCAAGGAUUUUGAAGUACCCCAUUUUGGAUUGAACUCACAUACAAUAUAUCAUAUGUUCUAUUUCAAGAGGUUGCAAAUUUCCGCAUCAUAAGAGGUAUAGCAUGGAAAGGGAAAAUAAGACAUGUGCAGUCACAGGCUUCAUCUACAGAUUAGAAAAUUGAAAUGCUCAUUGAACUUUGACUAUUAUUGUACUAUUAUUACCAAUUUGGAGACAGAGACUGGAUCACUACUGUUGUAAGACAAAAUCGUUGUAUUUUAACACAAUGUUACUGUUAAACCCCUCUCAAAUUCAUCGACUUAUUUCUCAA